rnacentral:rRNA from 1 species
GACGAACGCUGGCGGCGUGCCUAAUACAUGCAAGUUGAGCGCUGAAGGUUGGUACUUGUACCGACUGGAUGAGCAGCGAACGGGUGAGUAACGCGUGGGGAAUCUGCCUUUGAGCGGGGGACAACAUUUGGAAACGAAUGCUAAUACCGCAUAAAAACUUUAAACACAAGUUUUAAGUUUGAAAGAUGCAAUUGCAUCACUCAAAGAUGAUCCCGCGUUGUAUUAGCUAGUUGGUGAGGUAAAGGCUCACCAAGGCGAUGAUACAUAGCCGACCUGAGAGGGUGAUCGGCCACAUUGGGACUGAGACACGGCCCAAACUCCUACGGGAGGCAGCAGUAGGGAAUCUUCGGCAAUGGACGAAAGUCUGACCGAGCAACGCCGCGUGAGUGAGGAAGGUUUUCGGAUCGUAAAACUCUGUUGGUAGAGAAGAACGUUGGUGAGAGUGGAAAGCUCAUCAAGUGACGGUAACGACCCAGAAAGGGACGGCUAACUACGU